GCAAACGGGGUACAAGGGCAGCUGUCGUGGGCCCGGGAGACAAGGACGUUGAUAAUUGGGCCUUUCAAAAGAGAGGUGAUUGUGGGUCCCAUUAACUCAUUAAUCUGAGUCAGCUCGACGCCUUGUUGUAUCGACAGAUGACAAGUUGUGUGGUCCUAACCAAUUAUGUAAAACCUCCUUUCUUUUUUUGGAACUUUAUUAUAAUUGAUCACGAAAACACCUUUUAUUUUUGUAUGUAUUAAUACACUUUAAAUAUAUACAUUUUUAAUGUUUUAUUAUUGGUUUGCCGUUCGUAAUG